GCCUUCGUGGUGUAGUGGUCAGCACGCUCGACGCGUAUUCGAGAGGUCCGUGGUUCGAGUCCCGGCGAAGGCA
rfam:Stegodyphus mimosarum contig24721, whole genome shotgun sequence.